UACGUAGGGUCCGAGCGUUGUCCGGAAUUAUUGGGCGUAAAGAGCUCGUAGGUGGCGUGUUGCGUCUGAUGUGAAAGUCCGGAGCUUAACUUCGGUUUUGCAGUGGAUACGGGCAUGCUAGAGGUAGGCAGGGGAGACUGGAAUUCCAGGUGUAGCGGUGAAAUGCGCAGAUAUCAGGAGGAACACCGGUGGCGAAGGCGGGUCUCUGGGCCGUACCUGACGCUGAGGAGCGAAAGCGUGGGGAGCGAACAGG
rnacentral:misc_RNA from 1 species